GUGCUCACUUCGACAGCACGUAUACUAAAAUUGGAACGAUACAGAGGAGAUUAGCAUGGCCCCUGUGCAAGAUUUAAAAAAAAAAUAAAAUAAAAAUAAAAUAAAAUA
rnacentral:snRNA from 1 species